UGUGGACCGAGGUGGAUGGGAGAGGAAGAAAGAGCUGGGAAAAACAGCAUGAAUCACGAACCGGCUGCUGGGCUCCUUUCAGGUAUAAGGAUCGUCUCCCCGAAGGAGACAGAGGACCCACGUCUCCGACGAUGCUAACGGUUCCAUCUGACAUCGGCAGUUCAAACAGACACAGACCGACCUAAACUUGACCCACCACAGCUCCCACCUGCAGGAGGCCACACGGAGGCCCUUCAUGGCAGAGGAACGUGACAAGACCAGAAGAGAAGCAGAAAGUGCCACACACUGCAGCCUCUCUCCUGACCACCCUUCUGACUCACCCUGACCAAACCUUCCCGCUGCGGGCCACACCCCACUCGGAUCACUUACCCGCCGAGCUUUGGGCGCAUCAAGAGGGCCUGUCCCUACCCACCCC